rnacentral:rRNA from 1 species
UACGAAGGGGGCUAGCGUUGCUCGGAAUCACUGGGCGUAAAGGGCGCGUAGGCGGCCAUUCAAGUCGGGGGUGAAAGCCUGUGGCUCAACCACAGAAUUGCCUUCGAUACUGUUUGGCUUGAGACCGGAAGAGGUAAGUGGAACUGCGAGUGUAGAGGUGAAAUUCGUAGAUAUUCGCAAGAACACCAGUGGCGAAGGCGGCUCACUGGCCCGGUUCUGACGCUGAGGCACGAAAGCGUGGGGAGCAAACAGG